CUUCCGCAAUCCAUUCAUGCACUGAAGCGCGUGCAGAGCUGCUGAUCGCUGCCAUUGUUACUCGCGGGCGGUGUGGGAGCCGAGCCUCCACUCUGGCGAGAGAUAAAUGGCCUCUGACAGCCCCUCCUCGCCAAGAGAGCUCCUCGGAUUUCACCGCGCGGCGGCUCUCAGACUAGACGCUUGAAGAAAAGCUGCCAUCCAAGAAGACGACAUGCUUUCAGCAACCCCCCUGUAUGGGAACGUUCACAGCUGGAUGAACAGCGAGAGGGUCCGCAUGUGUGGAAU
rnacentral:lncRNA from 1 species